rnacentral:rRNA from 1 species
AUACGUAGUGGCGAGCGUUGUCCGGAAUUACUGGGUGUAAAGGGCGUGUAGGCGGAGAUGCAAGUUGGGAGUGAAAUCCCGGGGCUCAACCCCGGAACUGCUUUCAAAACUGUAUCCCUUGAGUAUCGGAGAGGCAAGCGGAAUUCCUAGUGUAGCGGUGAAAUGCGUAGAUAUUAGGUGGAACACCAGUAGCGAAGGCGGCUUUCUGGACUGUAACUGACACUGAGGCACGAAAGCGUGGGGAGC